rnacentral:rRNA from 1 species
ACACAUGCAAGUCGAACGAAGCACCUUUUGAGAUUCUUCGGAUGAUCGAUCGGUGACUGAGUGGCGGACGGGUGAGUAACGCGUGGGUAACCUGCCCUGUACAGGGGGAUAACAGCUGGAAACGGCUGCUAAUACCGCAUAAGCGCACGAGGAGACAUCUCCUUGUGUGAAAAACUCCGGUGGUACAGGAUGGGCCCGCGUCUGAUUAGCUGGUUGGCAGGGUAACGGCCUACCAAGGCAACGAUCAGUAGCCGGUCUGAGAGGAUGAACGGCCACAUUGGAACUGAGACACGGUCCAAACUCCUACGGGAGGCAGCAGUGGGGAAUAUUGCACAAUGGGGGAAACCCUGAUGCAGCAACGCCGCGUGAGUGAAGAAGUAUUUCGGUAUGUAAAGCUCUAUCAGCAGGGAAGAUAAUGACGGUACCUGACUAAGAAGCUCCGGCUAAAUACGUGCCAGCAGCCGCGGUAAUACGUAUGGAGCAAGCGUUAUCCGGAUUUACUGGGUGUAAAGGGUGCGUAGGUGGCAGUGCAAGUCAGAUGUGAAAGGCCGGGGCUCAACCCCGGAGCUGCAUUUGAAACUGCUCGGCUAGAGUACAGGAGAGGCAGGCGGAAUUCCUAGUGUAGCGGUGAAAUGCGUAGAUAUUAGGAGGAACACCAGUGGCGAAGGCGGCCUGCU